rnacentral:lncRNA from 1 species
GAAGAGCAAAUGCUGCAGUUAGGAGAAGCUGGGGAGGGGGCCGUGUGCGGACCUCUAGGUCAGAGCAGUCCAGCGAUCUCUGAUUCACAUGAGAGCAGAGCCGCCUUGGCAGUGGGAAAAUGGAUGAUGCACUGCAGCAUAAACAAACAAGCUUCUCAAAGAAUGGGUCACAUGUCAAGAGAACUGAAAAACAAGAGCGGGCAGGCUCUGAAGCAAGUCCUGUGAAGAAUUUUCUAAUGAAGAGAGAGGCUACUUCCUGGAAAGCCGUCAGGGUUGUAUAGAAAGUUUGCUGUGAAGCACUGUUCAAAAUGCUCUUUUUUGGUGAAGUUGGGCCUAUAGUCAGCUUAUUCUCUCCAUGGCAACCCACUGGGGACAGGCUGGGUCAGAGGUAGGCACCCAGACGUCAUGUCCAUCUGAGUCAUCCAAGGGAGCUGAGAGGCAAAGAAGACAGAGCUAUGGCUCUGGUGCUUUACCUUGGAGUGAAGGGGACACCCAGUGGAAUAGCAAAGAUGUGGCUCCAGUGAAAAUUCAAUCCAAACUUUGACUUUGGGGACAUCAUGACCACACUACCAAAAGUCAAUCUGUGUUGCCUCAGGUUCUUCAUGUUUGACCACUUUUUGGAGUUGUGUAGAUUAAUUUGAAUGUCAGUAGGAUAAUAGAAUAGUUACAGAUAUUAAAAUAAAAAUCUGUUAUAAUAGCA